rnacentral:rRNA from 1 species
UACGGAGGGGGCUAGCGUUGUUCGGAAUUACUGGGCGUAAAGCGUGCGUAGGCGGCUUUGUAAGUUAGAGGUGAAAGCCCGGAGCUCAACUCCGGAAUUGCCUUUAAGACUGCAUCGCUAGAAUCAUGGAGAGGUGAGUGGAAUUCCGAGUGUAGAGGUGAAAUUCGUAGAUAUUCGGAAGAACACCAGUGGCGAAGGCGACUCACUGGACAUGUAUUGACGCUGAGGUGCGAAAGCGUGGGGAGCAAACAGG